UAGAAGCACGAUUAGAGAGUUUAUGGAUAAUUUAAGAGGCAGCACAUUCUUUUAGCGAGUGCCUUGUCUGUUCCAGAGCAGUAAUUGCCUGUUACUUUGCAGCUUCUGAUGUGCUUGGCUGCAUGACACAUGAAGACACAGCAUAUAUUUAAAGAACUAACACUCAUUCAAAGUACCUGCUUGCAAUUUUAAACACAAGAAUCCAAUAAACUUCUAAUGGCAACAAGGAGAUUGACCAAAAAAAAAAAAAAAAAAAGAAAGAAAGAAAGAAGAAAAAAAGCACAUACAAAACAGCAAAUCAACAGCCAGGUGGAACAAUGUUAAUGUUUGCAGAUCCUGUUUCUCAAGAGGAAGUUUUAACUCUUUCUUCACACAGCCACAUGUCAGCCACCUUGCAGGAGGUACUAAGACAAAACACAAGAAAGCCCAUACUCAGGGUAAGUUCCUCCCGCCUGACGGGAAUCUGGGCGUUCCGGAUGUCUCACAAGAAAGAAUAUGGACAUCAGGCUUCCAAUCUGAAUUUGUAAGCCCAGGAAGUUGGGAAAAGGCUUGGAGAAACAUCCAAACUUUCACAUGCUUGUGCAAACUAAACAUCUAACUGUCUGAGAUCUCCCCUGUGGCAUAUUUAGUCAUGCAACUGUGAUGCCUUUGCUUUCUGUAUUCUGUACCUUUAAACCUCCAAGGACUCAGCUGUCUGCAGAGAUGGGCAGCCAUUUUGUGUUCAAAUGACUGCAAGUUGUCAGAGGAGCCAUAAACACUGUCUGCUGUCUCAUGUAGUCUUUGCUUUCAUUCUUUCUGGUUCUUGGGACCUGCUUUUCAAAGAUAUUUAGGCACCCAAAAAUGAGGGUAGGCACUUUGUGGGGUUUUCAAAAGUGCCUAAGCAGGUUAAGCAUCUGCCAUUGAAACCAAAGUGACAUCAAGCAGCACAGGGGCCUCACCACAUCUUUAGGCACCUAGGUACCUUAAAAAUUCCUAAUUUGAAAUCAGGCAGGGAACGUCUCUUUGCUCUGUGUGUCUGGAGAGGGACAACACUCCACAGCACGAGCAGUCAUUCCAUUUUGCUUGGAGGAGGAUCUGUAGGUGAGAAAUACCCACUGGAGCAUCUCUGUUCGGAAGGUGAGGUCCUGAAAUCUCCAAUGGUCGUGAUUCUCCUCUCAUGCCAGUUGGACACGGGUGUUAAAUGAAGGACUGUCGGGCUCAAUAAGAGGCCAUCACUCUGGCUAACCCCAGAGCUCCCAGUGUGACAUUCUCUUGCAUUGCCAUAUGGUUAUCAAAGAAUUUUCCUGCCCUCCCACAAACAGCUCCCACUGCCCCCCUGCCGCCCCCCGCGCCUCCAACCCAUUACCGAGGCAGGGCUCUACAUUUGCUCCUCCUACCACAAGUUUAUCAGGCUUUGCAGGCCUAUCAGAAGUGGGGGUCAGGUUUAAGCAGCAGUAGCUUACACCGGGAAACAUCCGGAGUUAAUUCUGAAUUCCCGCCGUCCGGGGCUUUGCGGAGGUAAAGCUUUUAAUGGAAAGAGGAAGUGUAAAAUGAAAAGAUGGGAGGAUUAGAGAUACAGUAGGCCAACCACUGUAAGAUAAAAGUGAACAGAACAGAGGAGGCAGGAGCCAGUUCAUUAUGGCUGGGCCCACUGCGUCUAAUUUAGAUCAGAUAAUGGUUAUCAGAAUGGAAAGCACAUAUCUUAAUCUGCUGUGUAUUUUCAAUUUUCUUAUCAGUGCUACGCAAAGGGCAUGGGGAACCAUGAGAGAAGAGCUGCCUUGAUGCUCUUUUACACUUACAAACGUGCAUCGAAAUAAGCUUCUUUGUAUCGUUCCCAGAGACCCUGCCACACGCAGGCACACCUUACAGAGGACACGGAAUUGGUGAACUGGUUAAUAGAACUGACCUGAACCUUCACUCAAACUCAGAUCAGAUCCCGAAUGGAAUCUUGUUGGGAUUUCAAAAAAAGUUUCAAUGACUUUCCCACCUAUUAUUUAUCAUUAUUGUUAAUUUCUUCACUUCUGGCUUCCAGCUGUUAUUGGAAGCCAAAAUGCUGUCA